rnacentral:snRNA from 1 species
GUUCUUCCUCUGACAGCACACAUGCUGAAACUGAAACAAUACAGAAAAGAUUUCCACAGCCCUUGCGCAAGAAUGAAAUACAAGUUCUUACUGAUCGUAUUUUCCUAAUUUU